GAUACCAGGAAGUAGGGUUGGAGGGAAGCAGAGGGGAGCAAAGACAAUGAGAACAGUGAGCAGGUAAGAGUGGGCGAAGGGUUCCCACCCAAGUGGGUGAAGAGGGUGCUGAGCGGGGCAAUGGUGAAAUAGACCUGCUGAGCGGGGCAAUGGUGAAACAAUGCCAUCACAGCUUUGUGUCUUUCUUCCUUUUGUACUUCUUACAGCACUAUCAUGGUGGUCUGCAUGUCACAUGGGGAGUCCACUAUAACUGUACAGACUGGGUGACCAAUAAUAAGAUUUGAAAGAAGGAUUUCCUUACACAGGACAAUUUCUCACCUGGCAUGAUUUGACCUUGAGUCUGCAAACCAUACCCCCCAUUUCUUUCUUGGUGGCCAGAGGUCCUGAGGGGUAGAAAUUCCCACCUGAGAAGCCUGCCUGCUUGCAUCCUGUUCUCCCUCUAUCCUGGACAUGUCAGAUGCGUGUCAGAAAGCCAUCCCUGCGUGAAAUCUUCUGAAACAAAGGGGUCAAUGAAUCCAGCAGGGGAAAGCUUGCCUGAGGAAAAUGUUCACAUUCUCUGAGCAUGCUGAGUUAGCAAGUCCGUUUAGCCAAUUCCGAACGUCUAUUGAGCACUUUUUGUAUACCAGAGCUCCACUGAGUGUGAGACUGGAUACCAGCAAUGGAUAGAAGACAGAGAGAAAGCCAGGUGGACUCUGAUUCCUGACACAGGGAAGUGAAGAAGACCACCGCUGUGGUUGGCCAGUUUUCCAGUUUGGGGAAUUCCUUGAAAUGUACCAGUAGGACCAUGCCUCCCUGGUAGCAUCCCAAGAUGAUGGAAAAGCCCUAUUUUCUCCCUUCCUUAGCCUCACCUUCAAAUCUGUGGGCUCUGCUGUGCCCACUUAUUCAAUUUCAGCGCCACAUGAAGGUCCCCACUACCGGGCAGGGGCCAGACUUCUACCUGCUCUGUUCCCCAAGCUGUACACUCUGGUGAAGGGCCGUGUCCACCCAUAGGGGGUGCUUUCUCUCGUUCUUGCAGAGGCACCCCACACGUUUGUGGCUGUGAAUUUGGUGCACUGAAGUUCCUUGCUAGACCAGCCUAGCACUGGACUAAAGACACUGGACAAGGAUAUAAAGAAGCAAAUGACAUCCUCCUUGUGUUACCUGAUGCAGGAAACCCUAAGUGGAGACCCAAAGACAUUCCUGGACUUUUUCAAAAGCCAUGUCAAGAACACCUGUGCACACCCCACCCCCCACUUUCAUCUUUCUGACUUCUAGCUCUAUUCUUUCUUUGGGGGAAACUAAUAAAUGCCAGAGUGUUUAAUAUCUUAUGAUAAAAAUUGGAGCUAUCAGUUACCAAGUGUU